rnacentral:rRNA from 1 species
AUGCUUAGUAGCGGCGAGUGAGCGGCAAAAGCUCAAAUUUGAAAUCUGGCGCCUUCGGUGUCCGAGUUGUAAUUUGAAGAUUGUAACCUUGGGGUUGGCUCUUGUCUAUGUUUCUUGGAACAGGACGUCACAGAGGGUGAGAAUCCCGUGCGAUGAGAUGCCCAAUUCUAUGUAAGGUGCUUUCGAAGAGUCGAGUUGUUUGGGAAUGCAGCUCUAAGUGGGUGGUAAAUUCCAUCUAAAGCUAAAUAUUGGCGAGAGACCGAUAGCGAACAAGUACAGUGAUGGAAAGAUGAAAAGAACUUUGAAAAGAGAGUGAAAAAGUACGUGAAAUUGUUGAAAGGGAAGGGUUUGAGAUCAGACUCGAUAUUUUGUGAGCCUUGCCUUCGUGGCGGGGUGACCCGCAGCUUAUCGGGCCAGCAUCGGUUUGGGCGGUAGGAUAAUGGCGUAGGAAUGUGACUUUACUUCGGUGAAGUGUUAUAGCCUGCGUUGAUGCUGCCUGCCUAGACCGAGGACUGCGAUUUUAUCAAGGAUGCUGGCAUAAUGAUCCCAAACCGCCCGUCUUGAA